rnacentral:rRNA from 1 species
GACGAACGCUGGCGGCGUGCUUAACACAUGCAAGUCGAGCGGUAAGGCCCUUUCGGGGGUACACGAGCGGCGAACGGGUGAGUAACACGUGGGUGACCUGCCCUCAGCUCUGGGAUAAGCCUGGGAAACUGGGUCUAAUACCGGAUAUGACUCCAUGACGCAUGUUGUGGGGUGGAAAGCCUUGUGCGGCUGAGGAUGGGCCCGCGGCCUAGUCAGCUUGUUGGUGGGGUGAUGGCCUACCAAGGCGACGACGGGUAGCCGGCCUGAGAGGGCGACCGGCCACACUGGGACUGAGACACGGCCCAGACUCCUACGGGAGGCAGCAGUGGGGAAUCUUGCGCAAUGGGCGAAAGCCUGACGC